rnacentral:lncRNA from 1 species
GGAGGUGCCCGUGCAAAACUCAGGGAGGUCACAGUCACCCAUGGCCUGGCGGCACAGCGCUCCAGCCGGCUUCAGCUGCGCAGGCACGCAGCAGUCCCCGUGGGCGCACUGGGCCCCCGGGCGCAGCGAGCAGUUUGUGAGCUCCUCGGCCUCUAGGCAGCGGCUCGCAACUCCGGCUCCGCCCAGGCUGGAUUGCGGCCGACCC